AGCCCCGUAGUGUAGUGGUCAAUUGAAAAUCGGAGAUUUUCAAUUUGCUCAGAAAUCUCCGAUUUCCGACAAAUCAUCCCUGCUUUUGGAGCCGGGGACGGCAGUUCGAAUCUGCCCGGGGCUA
rnacentral:tRNA from 1 species